ensembl:snRNA U2 U2 spliceosomal RNA
AUUGCUUCUCGGUCUUUUGGCUAAGAUCAAGUGUAGUAACUAUCAGUAAUUUUAAAAGAAGUUUAAAACAGACCAUUU